rnacentral:rRNA from 1 species
GACGAACGCUGGCGGCGUGCUUAACACAUGCAAGUCGAACGAUGAAAGCGGGAGCUUGCUCCUGCUGGAUUAGUGGCGAACGGGUGAGUAACACGUGAGCAAUCUGCCCCGAACUCUGGGAUAAGCGUUGGAAACGACGUCUAAUACCGGAUACGACGCGCGAAGGCAUCUUCUGCGCGUGGAAAGAAUUUCGGUUCGGGAUGAGCUCGCGGCCUAUCAGCUAGUUGGUGAGGUAAUGGCUCACCAAGGCGACGACGGGUAGCCGGCCUGAGAGGGUGACCGGCCACACUGGGACUGAGACACGGCCCAGACUCCUACGGGAGGCAGCAGUGGGGAAUAUUGCACAAUGGGCGGCAAGCCUGAUGCAGCAACG